UACGUAGGGUGCAAGCGUUAAUCGGAAUUACUGGGCGUAAAGCGUGCGCAGGCGGUUGUGCAAGACAGAUGUGAAAUCCCCGGGCUUAACCUGGGAACUGCAUUUGUGACUGCACGGCUAGAGUGUGUCAGAGGGGGGUAGAAUUCCACGUGUAGCAGUGAAAUGCGCAGAUAUGUGGAGGAAUACCGAUGGCGAAGGCAGCCCCCUGGGAUAACACUGACGCUCAUGCACGAAAGCGUGGGGAGCAAACAGG
rnacentral:rRNA from 1 species